GACGUAGGGCGCGAGCGUUGUCCGGAUUUAUUGGGCGUAAAGAGCUCGUAGGCGGCUUGUCGCGUCGUCUGUGAAAACCCACAGCUCAACUGUGGGCUUGCGGUCGAUACGGGCAGGCUAGAGUGUGGUAGGGGAGAUCGGAAUUCCUGGUGUAGCGGUGAAAUGCGCAGAUAUCAGGAGGAACACCGGUGGCGAAGGCGGAUCUCUGGGCCAUUACUGACGCUGAGGAGCGAAAGCGUGGGGAGCGAACAGG
rnacentral:rRNA from 1 species